CAUAUUCAAACAAUUUAUGAUUUUAGCUUUUAACUUUGUUUCUUUUCAUAUUCAAACAAUUUAUUAUUUUAGCUUUCAACUUUGUUUCUUUUAAUACUGUAAGCCACCUUGGAUCCUUAGGAGAAAGGCAGUAUAUAAACGGAUGGACAGAUGGAUGGACGAACAAACAAGCAAACAAAAGAAGGAGCCGUUGUAAAAAUCUUGGCUGCCAGCCAGCCAGCCAGUCAACCAGCAGGAUCCUGACUUUAUC
rnacentral:lncRNA from 1 species